AAGUGCUGGGAUUACAGGCGUGAGCCACCGCACCCAGUCUCAAAAUUCUUAAUUUUUUUCUUCUUCAGAUGUGGUGUAGUACAUUUCUUAAGUCUGUCCUUUUUUGUGGAUGAUUUCUUUAUUUCUUUUUCUUUCUUUCUUUCCUUUUUUUUUUUUUAAGAUAGGGUCUGGCUUUGUUGCCCAGACUGGGAUGAGGUAGCACAAUCUCAGCUCACUGCAAUCUCCAUCUUCCAGGCACAAGCUAUCCUCCCACCUCAGCCUCCGUAGUAGCUGAGACCACAGGCACACACCACUACACC
rnacentral:lncRNA from 1 species